ACCGUGUCGCCAUAGUCAUUCACCUCGUCGCGAGCGGAACCGUUGAUUCGCACCACUUGGUCAUCGCGCUUGGUUGAACGCCCGUGGCGCGAACGCUACCGUGCGUUGGAUUAUGACCUGAACGCCUCUAAGUCAGAAUCCGGGCUAGACCGACGCAUGCGCUCGUCGCCCGUUUGCCGACCCGCAGUAGGGGCCAUUUGGCCCCCAGGGCACGUGUCGUUGGCUAAGCCGUCGUGGCGGAAGGGUCACGGUGGCCGCCUUGAAUUACAAUUCCGAUCGAGCGGCGAGCUGAAUCCUUUGCAGACGACUUAAAUACGCGACGGGGUAUUGUAAGGGGUAGAGUGGCCUUGCUGCCACGAUCCUCUGAGAUUCAGCCCUUUGUCGCUCCGAUUC
rnacentral:ncRNA from 1 species